AUACUUUUGGCAGCGCAUAUGUUACAAUUGGAAUGAUACAGAGAACAUUUGCAUGGUUGCUGCGCAAGGAUGACAUGCAAAUUCGUGAAGCAUUCCAUAUUAAA
ensembl:snRNA U6 U6 spliceosomal RNA